AGAGUUUGAUCAUGGCUCAGGACGAACGCUGGCGGCGUGCUUAACACAUGCAAGUCGAGCGGAAAGGCCUUUCGGGGUACUCGAGCGGCGAACGGGUGAGUAACACGUGAGUAACCUGCCCUUGGUUCUGGGAUAAGCCUGGGAAACUAGGUCUAAUACCGGAUAUGACCGCUUCCCUCCUGGGAUGGUGGUGGAAAGUUUUUCGACUGGGGAUGGACUCGCGGCCUAUCAGCUUGUUGGUGGGGUAAUGGCCUACCAAGGCGACGACGGGUAGCCGGCCUGAGAGGGCGACCGGCCACACUGGGACUGAGACACGGCCCAGACUCCUACGGGAGGCAGCAGUGGGGAAUAUUGCGCAAUGGGCGAAAGCCUGACGCAGCGACGCCGCGUGAGGGAUGAAGGCCUUCGGGUUGUAAACCUCUUUCAGCACCGACGAAGCGUGAGUGACGGUAGGUGCAGAAGAAGCGCCGGCUAACUACGUGCCAGCAGCCGCGGUAAUACGUAGGGCGCAAGCGUUGUCCGGAAUUAUUGGGCGUAAAGAGCUCGUAGGCGGUUUGUCGCGUCUGUCGUGAAAGCCCAGGGCUUAACCCUGGGUCUGCGGUGGAUACGGGCAGACUAGAGGCAGGUAGGGGAGAACGGAAUUCCCGGUGUAGCGGUGAAAUGCGCAGAUAUCGGGAGGAACACCGGUGGCGAAGGCGGUUCUCUGGGCCUGUACUGACGCUGAGGAGCGAAAGCGUGGGGAGCGAACAGGAUUAGAUACCCUGGUAGUCCGCGCCGUAAACGUUGGGCGCUAGGUGUGGGGUCCUUCCACGGAUUCCGCGCCGCAGCUAACGCAUUAAGCGCCCCGCCUGGGGAGUACGGGCCGCAAGGCUAAAACUCAAAUGAAUUGACGG
rnacentral:rRNA from 1 species